rnacentral:rRNA from 1 species
UACGAAGGGGGCUAGCGUUGCUCGGAAUUACUGGGCGUAAAGGGCGCGUAGGCGGGUCGUUUAGUUAGAGGUGAAAGCCCAGGGCUCAACCCUGGAAUUGCCUUUAAUACUGGCGGCCUUGAGUAUGGCAGAGGUGUGUGGAACUCCGAGUGUAGAGGUGAAAUUCGUAGAUAUUCGGAAGAACACCAGUGGCGAAGGCGACACACUGGGCCAUUACUGACGCUGAGGCGCGAAAGCUAGGGGGGCAAACAGG